CUUGGUGAAUGCUGCUUCACA
rnacentral:misc_RNA from 1 species